AUGGAUUCUACAGAAAAGCUUCUUAGUUCUCACUCCUGGGUUUUAGCUGUUUUGUUUAUUGAAUUUGAGCAUAAUAUUGAAUGUGACUAAGAGUGUUCUCUUUUUCUUUUCUUUUUUUAAUACCAAAAUUCUGACCUUUUUCAAUUUUUGUUUUACUAAAGUUUCCUUGGAAGAACUCCAGAUCAUGAUCUAGGGGCGGCCGACCGCUUCGCCCCCGGUGGAUUGCCGACCCCUACCACCUCUUUCGUUUUUCUUUCUAUUCUACGGAUUUCUUCCCUCCUCAGGCCAAAUAAAAUCUCCUUUGAGGAGAUGGCGGUCGGAGAGCUCAUCGGCGGUCCUGGUGGUGGGAGCCGAGAGACGUUCCUAGGCUGCGGGACGAUCUUUUUUUUGAGGAGGGAGCGACAAGGAUCGUCGGUGCAAUGGUCCUACAUUGUGGUGAUUUUGUUGGUGUGGGCGGCGGCUCUAUCUCCCUGUUUUCUUCUUAGAUUAAUGGGGGGAUUUUAGAAUAUAUCCAAUUUUUAUUUUUAUUUGUGUCCUGAUGCUUCCCUUCAAUAGUUCAUGAGUUUUUUUAUUUUUAGUAAAAUUUUCUAAGCAAAGCAAACGUAAUUGUCUUCAUUGGCCUACUUUUUCUUGGCAAUUAUAUCUACAGUUCGGCUUUUUAAAAAGCUUUUUUCCCCCAUGGUUUGAUGAUUAAAAUAUGGCAAAUUGGAUUGUUUCAACUUUCAAGGGUUUUAAGUUUAAAUACUUUGAUGCUUGUUUAGAUUAAUGAAAAUUAUUAUUUUCAAGAGAAAAAUUAUUUUAAAAGUUAUACUGAAAUUCUACAUAUUUAUUGAUUUAUGUUGUUUACUGAUAGAGAAAGAAAAAUGCGUCCUACAAUAAGUAUUUUAAUUGCCACAUCAGUGAAAAUGAGUCAUAUAGGAUGUGUUUUCAGUCUCUCUCCUGAAAACACGUCUUACGUGGCGUGUUUUAACGGAUGUGGUAGUGAAAUGCUCUCUAUAGCACAUGUUUUCACUUACCUAAAUUUUCUUUUUCUUUAUUUCUUUUUUCUUAUAGUUAGAAAUUAGAAGUUUGUAGAUUUAUUUUUAUUUGUGUUUGAGAUAAGCAUAAUAAUAGUUUUAAGGAAUAGAUCGGUAAAUUUUAAAAUUUUCAACCUACUUUCUCAAUUGUCUUUCUUUUUCAGCAUAUAUGUAUAAAGUAACCCCAAACAAAUCUAUUAAAUCUAUUUAUUUCUAUUACUUUUUCAUUCAUAUUUUUUUCCGUCGAUUUGUUAAGUAUAAAAUUUUUACAAAGUGAAGAUUUGAUCAAAAGCUUCCCAAUUUUGGCUAAAACUUUGGCUUGGGUAUUGUAAUAUAUCUUAUUUGAAAAAGUACUAAUAACUUCCACUUUACAGAAAAAAUUAAUAAAUAAACGGAUAAGUUGGUAAGUUAGUGUUUUAAUUAGCUCUUCUCUUCAAUGCUCCCGGGUUGUUUGGACAUGUUGGCUUCAUAUGCCCUAGGUUCCUACAGUAUGUGCAUAAACCUCGGUAUGUCUACCCACUCUCGAAUAUCCUUAUUUCCUCGUUUUUGAGUUGAGUUCGAUCGACCUUUCGGCUUGUGCCGCUAGGUCUUAUCCGUUAAUCAAAUUGAAUGUUUUAGCUAUGAAUCAAAUUGAAUAUUAACAUUUGAAUUAA